GGUUGACUUUUUAAAAUAAAGAGUAUUUCAUAUUUAACGAGUCUAUUGAAAAUGCUCUACAAAUGCGAGAAUAACCAACAAAAAUGGGAGAAAUGUACAAAAUGACUCAUUCGUGGCUACAACAAAAAUAUACAUUCACAAAAAAGGAGCUCACAAAUUGUUAACAUGUACAACAAGUAUGUUUGUCUGUCUUCUAAGUCCUAUUUAUUUAAAGAAACAUUUGCUUCCAAGCAUGUUUUGAUGAGUUACUUUUGUUACUAAGCAAGAAAAGAAAGUACUUAUUUUGACGGUGAGGUAGAACUGAAAAGUUACUCUCAAAACAAGUAACUUAUUUCUAACUUUAACAAACAAAAGAUUAUCCAUUCAAACUAGCCUAUUUACAUAUAUAGAGCUCACAAAAUGUCAAACAUGUACAACAUGCAUGUUUGUCUGUUUUCUAAGUUAUAUUUAGCCCUCG
rnacentral:lncRNA from 1 species